GAUUUCAGCUGAACCUGCCUUCUCUUACAAUGCACCGCACACCCCACAAGGGAGCCUGAGAACAGACUCCCUUGAAAAGCACGGUUCUCAUAGUUGGCCUGUAACCAUGGAAGCAGAUGCUGUUUUCUUCUUACCCUGCUUACCUCUUUGCAGCCUCGAGCUGCUGCCUAUUGUUAAAAGGGGGUACGCCUCGAUUCUUCUUCAUCAUGACCGAACUUGCCUCUUCUUCAAAGGGCAUGAUGCUGCAGGUCAUUGGUCUAGACUGUUUUCACGGUCCAGAGAGCAGCCUUGAUGUAACCCUUGCUCCGUCUGAGCCACACCACCAGCCGUGCAGCUGCAGACUGGAGGGGGACAUUGGAGAUCCGUAUUUGAAAAGAAGUCUGUCUGAUUUUGCCAUUGUGCCUUUUCACUCAUCGAUCGAAUGAAUAUCGAACCUUCUGUCGUUGCAUGUGUGAAAUAGAUAGCUUAGCCAGCACUUUUGUGCCCAACCUGUGCUGUGGGCCAAAAGGUUUUCAUUUUAGUCUCAAGGUUUUUUUUUUUGUUUUUUUGUUUUUUUGUUUUGUUUUGUUUUGUCUUUUCCUUUCUUUCCUCAGACUUGAUGAAUUUUGUGCUGGCUUAAAUUAUUUGUAUGCCUUUAUCCAGCUGUUCUGGAGACUGCUUGGGGUACUGUACCAGCAGGGAUUUGGUUUUGGUGUGAAAAGGGAACUUCUUUCCCCUCCUGUCCUCUGUUUGUUUUCCUUUGUAGCUGUCUUAAGGUCUUUUGUAGCUUUGUAGGUAGAAGUGCGCUAACUUUUACUACACCCUAUAAAGCCGAACAUCUAAGUUACCCUUUUACGGGGACGACUUGAUGGUGUCUGUUACUUAACAGGCUUAAAUCCAGAAAGGUGAACUUGAGCCUCUCAAGGUGAUUUCAGUGAUUUAUAAGAGUAAGUAAACCGGAUAAUCACAUUGAUUUUUUUAAGCUGAACAAAAGUGUUUGGUAAACUCUAUUCGAAAGGAAUUUGUUUUCUUUGUUUUCUCCUUCUUUGAACAUCAGCAGAAAUAUUAUUUGGAAGCGUUGACAUAUACUUAAAAGCACAUAACUUCUUUUGUGCUUAGGAAAGUACAAAUGACAGAUAAAAUCAUUAUGAUUUAAUAUAUUGAGUAAAUAUAUUGAUAAUAUCUGUCUGUGGGCACGAUUGAACUAUAAAGUAACUAAAAGGUCUUUGCAUUUCAUUUUUUAAAUAUAACUAAAAUUUCCUUGCUGCUCACUAGCAGCUGAUGUUAAUGGCUGAUGAGACUUGUGCCACCUGCUCACUCCCGUAUGCCCAAUUUUACCGUGUCCUUGUGAAACUCGGUAACUUCGGGAUGUCCUGGGUGUAUCUCCCCAGCAUGGUGAUUACGAAGCAUUGUCUGUGAGUGUCAUCAGGAGUGGUUUCCUUUGAUUUGAAGAAACCAGUAGUUCAUACUUAAAGGCAUACAUAUUUUCUCUAACUGCCAAAGGCAAGGGGGAGGUCCGUGGCAGAAUAAAGAAGGUUACUGUGACAGAUGAAAUAUAAUUCACAAUGAGCACUCUUUUCAUCUAGACUGAAGUACCACGCGAUUACUUACAAGCUGAAUUUUGGGACAGAACGUAUAAGCUCAUUUAAAACAAAAAGCUAGAAAGAAAAGCAGCAAGCCUAGUUCUCUUUGGCUCAGGAGUGUUUAUCUUGUGUAUGUCUGUCUUGGGAUCAUAUUUUGUUUCUUCUAACAUAGAAGAUACACUGGCAAGAAGAGGGACUAGGCAGAAAGGGUAAAAAGGAAGGAGUCUAAGGGCAAUCAAAGCUACUUUUUCCCUCUAACAAUGAAGAAAGACGAGUUAGAUGGAUUUUUUUUUUUUUAUUCUUUGGCAUGCACAUGCAACAAUCAUUAUUUUUCAACACACUUUUUUUGGAUGCAAAAGUAGGUUCUGUAUUCAAGCCCAUCGUAUGUCUCCCGAGAAGGAAAAACUUCCUCAAAAUUCAUGACUGAAACCAUCUUCACAUCCAAACUAUAUUGCUCUAGAAUGCCAGGGCUCCUAAAGAAAGGUCAAAGACCAACAUCUCUGUUUCCUUAGUUUCUUCAUUUUUUUUUUAAUAUUUGAUAAAAUUAGGAUAGAGUACUAUUUACCUUUGAAAGUUCAUUAUUCAAGAACAUUAGUGUUCAUAUAUCUAAGAAUAAAAAUGAUAUUUUUCUCUGUUGAAGAGACUUUUAAAGAAAUAUAAUAAAAUAUUACUUUUCUAUUGAAAAUAUAUUGAGUAUUAGUAAAGUAAUGUGUUAGAGUUAACAAAUUUUCCAAAAGUAAAUAUGUGAGAACUAUGCAAUUAAAUAGUAAAAUUUUAUGAAUAAAAAUUCACAUCAUAAAAAUAAAACAUCUAAACUAUACCUGUGUAUAAUGUACAUUAUAUUGGAAAUAGUAUUCAGCUUUCAUUGUUUUCAAGUCUAAAAGAAACCCUAUCUAUAAAGAACACUAUAUCCUAAUUUAAAAAAUAAUGUGUUAAUGUGGUCUUAGGAGAAUAAAACAAAUCUAAAUCUCUGUUAAUUAAUACUUCGGUAAAGUACAUUCUCUUAGUUGAACUAUUGCUGGAACCCCUACUGGGAUUAUACUUUUCAAUUUCUAUUUAUAAUUUAGAAAUACAAAGCAGAGGUACAAAAUUUCUCAUCUGUAUACUCAUGUUCCCAAGCUUACAAGAGCUUGAGUUGUGACUCAUUGACUUAAAAUUGUGUAAAAGUGAUAUGCACUCAGUACAAACAGUAACACUAACGAUGAAUGAUAUUAUCCAGGGAUAUAUAUGACCUUGCUAUGUUUGGGUCAGCCAUGUGAUCAUGAGGGUAAACAAUCUCUACAUUCUUCAAGCCCUGCUAAUCCAUAUUCAGUUAAAAUCAAAGAUGAAAAAUAUUUAAACAUAAGGGCAUUUCUAAAGAGUAUUAUUUAUUUCCCAGACUCAUCCCCCACAACAGAGAAGAAACUAGGAUGGAUCUCCACGUUUUAUCACUUGUCUGGCAUGUACAAGGCCCUGAGUUUGAACUUUGACAUUUUGUUACAAAAAGUAGCUAUAUAUCAUUUGAAAGCUUAAUAUAAGAAAUUAAACUGUCAGCUCACUCAUGGCAUAGGAACCACUUAGUAGAGGCCUGCUUUCAACAAGGCCUUUCUGAAAAGAUUCAUAAAAUGAAAUAUAUUGGCAAUGUUUAUGUAAGGAGUUCUUUUGUUUUAAAUCCACUCAUUGAAAUACCAUAUUUUUAUUGCCUCUGUGAUAUCCUAGGUUUUAGAAAAGUUUAUUCACUCAAAAAUACUUGAUAGAAAUCUAUUAGCAAUGCUCUAGUGAAUAAAAAUAUAGUCAUUUUAAAAAAUGAUUAGAGGAUUAUCUGCUGUGGUAGAGAGGAACAAGAGUGAGAAAGAAGAGAUAGGAUUCCAAAAAAAUGCUCUCAGAUGAAGAAUGGGAACAAAGUUUGAAAAACUCAGAAUUGUCCAACCAUGCAAACAACAUACAGUUUUAACCUAGAAGGAAUAGCCUGUGGCAGAGACUCUGGGUAGACAGGAGCUUGACAUAUUGAGAGCAGGAAGAGACCAGCCUAAUUAGGCAAACUGAAGAGUGGGGAGGCUAGCUGGAAUUAGCCUCAUGCCACUCAAGAAUCUGCAGUUACAAAGAAAAGUUUGAGCUUAUCUUUAGGGGGAUAGGUACCUACAAAGCCACAGUCUGUUAUGAAGCCUGAGAUGAUGAAUCUGUAUGUAAUCCAUGUAGACUAUCCACUGUAACUAAUGUAUUAAACAAUGGUUCCUAACACUAUCCAAGGAAUUCAGAGUUUGAACUUCACUUAAAUAAAAAUCUGAAGAUCUGGGAUAUGUGUUUAUGAUUUUUGUGUUUGGACUCUGAAGAUUUUGAAUCCUGUCUACAUAAGAUAAAGAAGAUCAAUACCACCUGUAGAUGAGUUAGCUACUUUUAGCUUCUUAUCAAAAGAGAAUUUUGUGCAGUAUCAACAACACUCCUUGAAUUGCCCGUUUCUUGGUUUGAAGGAGUAGCUGUAAUUGCAUGGAAACUCAUUCACUGCUAAGAAUGAGAGCAAAUGAGUCUGCCUAAUGAAGCACCUGGAGGAAGAGAUGAGAUGCACAUAUGAGACAGACAUUCAUUCAGUGGAGUGGAUCUUGAAAUGUGUAAUCUGCCAUAUAGCACAGCGAUGACAGGAAGAUAUUGUCCUAAUGUGUAAAAACUAUAAUCAGAUGUUUCUCAGGUAACCUUUGAUGUGUUCCCAAAGCACCAUGAGAGAGUGUCACAACUGCCCAGUCAACGAAGUGGGACUGGCACUGGAGACAGUUCCAAGCAGUUGAUAACUCUCUGAUAGUUUUAUUUCUCUCUACUAACCCACUGGAUAACAAGCUGCUGAAACUAUCCUUGAUUAUAUGCACAAAAAGGACUUCAAGCCUGAGGGUAGUCAAAAGGAAGCAUCUAACUUCUGCUACUUGGGCUAAAGGCUUCUUGUGGACAAAAGCAGACUUGAGUUGACAGGAGUGAGUAGUAAUUGGUUAAUUAAUGUUCUUUGGAUCUUUCCCUAAAGGAAUUUCAAUAUGAAAGUUCAAGGAAAAGACUUUGAAAGGUUUUGACAACAAAAAUUUAUGAUCGGAGCUUUAACUUAAAGACAAUUGGUCUAAGGGAAAGUGGAGAGGGAAAUGGGAAAUGGAUAUAGAUUAAGAUCCAUGGCAUACAAGUGUGUGAUUUUCAGAGAAUGAAUAAAAAUGUUGUUUAAAACAUUUUACAAAAUUUAGUAAUGUGAAGAUGUGCCUUUUAAAAUGCAUAUGGACACAAAUACUUGAAAGUAAAAACAUAUUCAAAUAUCAGCAUCAAGGGAUGGUAUUUAGUGUUCAAGCCUUUAUCACUGGUGAAAUACAAAACUCCAUUUAUAUUGCAAAUCAAAUCUGAUUAAAUUAUCCAAAAUAAUAUGAAUAUUAUACCAUAACUAUCUAAAUGUCUUGAAGCUUAAUAAAUAAGUAAAGGUUAAUGAUAUCACAAUAUGAUCAGCUAAAGUAUGAAUGAAAAAUUACCUACACUCUAAGUCUAUUUGCUCAGGUUCUUAGAGAAAUCUGUUUUGUAAGUUCUUAUACCUCAAAAUGGGUCUUAUAUACUUUGAUGGUUUCAUUUUCUAUGCAUGUAUGCUUCUCCCUAUUUUGUUUUAUCUCAGAACAACCAAGUCAAGCUCUUCCCCUUCAUCAUCUUCAUUUUCAUGCUAUAUUACUAAGCCCUUUCUGUUCUUCUAAGGCUCACUGAGAACGUGCUCUCAAAUUCCAUCCUCACUUCCUCUGAUCUAUCCCCACCCACACAGCAGAUUAUUAUGUAUAAGAGACUAAUU